UAGAAACAUAUAUGGCACUGAUUCCAUGGAUAUCAUUAUUUUUAGCUAGAGUAAGAGAAACACACUUCUGAUCAACCUGUAUUAUCACAGUGUUCAAAAAGAUAGAGCAAAUGCACCAUAUAUGGAAGCAAAUUACCUCUAUUGUUCAAAGAAAAUUAUUUCAAACCUAACAUGUUUAACCAUAUGUGCUUUUGGCUAACAAAACUAUUUUAGGUUUAUGCUGAAAUAUAAAUCACUUCAAUGCUAGCUUUGAUAGGGAUAUAGAAAUUCCCUCGAUAUUCCAAUAAAAGCACUUCUUCCAAAGGGAUUAUUGGGGACACCCUUUGAUCUGGUUGCGUAAGUGCUUCUUCUUGUUGAAGUUAGAUUUUUUUGCGUUUCCUUCUUAUUUGAUUUUUGAGUAAACAGCUGAAAAUAGUAAGCAUCUACAUUAUUCUGAUCUUUUCUUGAUACUUAGUUAAUCUAUUUUGUCUUCAUUAGCUAGUCUUCUUUCUAACUCAGUUUCAUGUUGAAUUUGUUGAUCUUUUUCUUCAUCUGCUAGAUUUGCCCAAUAUUAUUUAAGGAAGUGCAUGUCUUUUUGGAUUUUUUUUGUGGAGUCUCUCGGUUUAGACUAGAGUCUUCACCUUCAUCUUAUGUGUUAUGAUGAUUUAUAUUAACAAAUAUCUCCUCUUGUGAAAGACUAUAAUUAUGUACUCAUAUCUUGAUGUGAGGUGUUAUUUAGGAGUCUAUGGUUGAAAUCCUUAGUCCAGGCAAAAGAUUUUAACAAACUAGGGUUAAGAAUCCAGGAUCCCACUAAUCUAACACUUCUAGCAUCCUCUAUAGAUUAUAAUGAAAACUCAUAAAAUCCUAUUCCCAAGGAUGCAUGUCACACCCUAAGGUCCCAAAUUCUUUCCUAUAGGCUUUAUCUUCUCUUUCAAGGAAACCACCGUAAGAGGAAUUGAACCAAGUGGCCAUAUUAUUUGUGCUUGAAGAUUGUUCUUGCAUGCUUCUACACCAAGUAAAAUAUUCAUCCUUCAGUAUAGUAAUUGAUAUUCAAUUUCCUUUCAGGAAGGUGAUGGUCAUAUUAGGCAAGUGUACCAAAUCGUUUACCAAGUAAUAAAGUCUAAGUAGAGUAUUGUAUCCACAUGGAUUGUCGUUUCGUCCAAACAAUUCACGUUACUUAUCUGGUUUAACAAAAUUAAAAUAAAAGAGUUGAAGGAUAGAGAUUGCAAUUUUUAUUUGUUUGCAACGGAGCAGUUUACUUAUUUUUUGUUGAAAUUAAAUAACAUUCAUGUCGCGUUUAGUUAUCUUAAGUAGACUAUACAAGUGAUGGCCGUUCAAACGUUCUAACCGAAUCGGUUCAUCAAGUCGCACUUGUUGAUCGCACGAUGAUCUUUACGUGCGGAGCCUUACUCUCUCAGAUGAUUUCAGUCUAUCCCUCCAAUGUUGAGUUUCACCUACUGGUCACACGCGGUGAUCCUUACGUGUGGGGUCUUACUCCCUCAAAGGUAAUUGAAACAUAUACUUUAUAUUGGCAUUCCUAAACAUAGACUUGCGGUAUUUAUAAGGAAAGUUUCCACCUCAACUUGGGCUUAAAAUACGGGCUUAAGGGGUAAAAAAAGUCAUAAAACAACAACUUUUUUUGCAAGUCGCCGUGCUCAGGGGGCCUAGGUCAUGUGCUAGGCGUAUGUGCCUUGCACCUAAACCGCCUUUGGGUGGAUAACGCCCCAUUCCAUGCGACAGGUGCAUGUUCAUGGUUGCUCUGGGCGCUAUUCCAUGUGUCUGGGUGUUUCUUACUGCGUUCUAGAUGCUGAAAUGUCUGUUUCUUCGCCUUUUCAAGUAUUUGCUUAUGUGUAAGUUGCCUUGGAACUUGGGAACAAAAUUCCACCCUUUGUAAAGUCUUUUGAGGCAUCUUGAAUCUUCAUCUUCCCAAGGACCACAUAAAUCUUCAGAUGUCUUUGCUUUGCCGAUUUGCAUGAUUUCUUUGUGAAUUACAUCAAAAACACCCUAAAAUUUCUAUGUUUCAGGAAGAACAUAAUAAUAGACCUAAAUAUAGAAAACGUUACAAAUGUGUCGAAAUCAUAAGCAAUUGCUCUAAUACUCCUCUGUUUUGCUAAUAACACCUAUUAAAAACGACUGAAAAACAUGCUAAGAAUAACAUAAGAUAUCUGUCAUUAGUAGGUUUAGGGCGUUGGCUUAAUAGAAUAUCAUAGACGUUGAUUAAUUAUUGCGCAAACAUUUUGUGUGCUUUUGAUUUUGGUUUUGGUUGAGGGUUUUUUUUUUUUUUUUUUUUGUGUGACUUUUGGGUGAUUUAAUGGUAGCAAUUGGAGAUGGAGUUUUGGUGGCGGUGGAGGUAGGUUGAGUUAUUGGGGAAGGUAGAUGAGUAUUUAUUAAAUUAAUUUAGAAAUCAUGCAAACUACUAUUCGUUUGUUUAAUUUAAAGGCCUAAUAAAUUAGUAUUGUUUGUUUUCUUGCAUAAAGAAAGAAAACUUUCUUUUUCCUCAUGGUUAGAUUUUGACCUUAAUCAUUGGUGGGUGAAUAUGUUACUAUAUUUGGGUUUAGCCACUUGGCUUGUGUUCUUUCGUGGUUUCUUUGUUGCUGUAUUGUAUGUAAUUUUCAUACUCUCGAGUUUUAUUUGUGCAAUUUUUUUUUUUUUUUUACUUUCGUACCGGUUUUCGACCCACCAAUAGUGAGCGACUAAUCCGGCUCGUGCGUAGAGGCAUGCGCACUAGCCAAGCGUUGUUCCCCUGGGAAUCGAACCCGCAAUUCUUGUGUUGGCAGAAACAUUUUUGUAGUUAUUAUAUUCAUUCUGUCUUGGUUAAUGAAAAUGAUCUCCUUAAUAUCGCUCCUUAAUUUACAUGCCUUCUUCCUCUCUUUUUAUAAUUUGAACAUGAUUGAUUUAAGAAAUUAUUUGAUUUAAAUAAUGUGGUGUAAUUGUACUUUAUAAAAUUAAGAGGAGAUAUUUGUGUGGAUGAAUAUAAUUUGUUGUUUAAAGAAGUGGUCUUUGGUUGUUAUUUUGCAUAAUUUUGUCAACAAAAAAAAUUAUCUUAUGGUAUGAUUACUUUUUAAAUAAACGUGUUGUAACCUCUUCAAUGAAUUAUUUUUAAACCAAGUAUUUUCAUCAAUCAAAAUUAAAUUUAUCUUUUGAGAUUUUUUCCUUGUCUAUCAUGAAAGGCUAAAAGAAAACAAAACAAAUUAAUCUUUGAUGGACAUAAAAAAUAUUAUUUGAGAUAUUUACUUAGGUUAUGUAAUCAAUUGGUUGAGCCAGACGACAAACACAACAUAUUGAUAAUCUUAGAGACAUUUAUCAAUCACUACAAUUUUUGCCCCCCUCUUGUACAUAUUUUUUUCUAUUUUUGACGUGGGUGGCAAAAUAUAGGGGUUUUUUGGGGGGUGCCAUCAAAGUUGAAAUGUCUAAGUUUCACCUUGAUAUGUUUAACCUCACUCUUAGUUCAUAAAAAUAAAAGCAUUUAAUAUGCAUUGAUUUUUAUAAUAUAAUUUUGUAAACAACACCAAUUUAUCUUGUGGUAGUUUUAUUUUAUAAACAAAUGUGUGGUCACCUCUUGAAUGAAUUAUUUUCAUAAUUCAAAUCUAAUAUUUUUCUUGAAAUUAUUCUCUUGUCUAUCAUGAAAAGGUACAUGUCUAUCAUGAAAAGGUAGAAGAAGAAGAAAUAUUUAAUGAACUGAGUGAACUCAAUUUAAAGAAAAAUAAUCUUGAUGUGCAUCAAAUUUUUUAUUAGAGAUAUUUACUAAUGUUAAGUGAUCAAUUGAGAGAGUUUAAGGAUAAACACAACACAUUGAUAAACUAUAGAGACAUUUAACAAUAACUUCAAUUUUAUGAAUAGUUUCUUAAAACUAUUAAGUGUUAAAAACUAUUUACUUGAUGUGAUGAAAACACAAUUUUUUUACAUAUAAAGCGUUCAAACAAGUUUUUAUUGAUUUCAUGUAAUAGAGGAAAAAUAUGUCUCAAAUUUCCUAUUUUCUCAAAGCUUUGUUAAUAUUUUUUUCUCUAUUCCUUGUUGAAAUCAAUGGUGGUAAGUAAUUUUCACAUUAUUUUCACAUUUUCUUCUUUAUAUUAUACACAAUAAUUUAUAAUCAUUUGAUAAUAUUCCUUUAUUUUUAUUUGACAUUGCAGAGGUAAAACCCUGCACAUAUAACAUUGAUUGUCCGUUAAGUAUGUGUCCUAGUCCUGAAAUUCCAAAGUGCGUUAAUUCUAUUUGUGAGUGCAAGUAAGUGUAAGAAUUAAUAUGAUAAAUUAUUAUUAUUAUUAUUAUUAUUAUUAUUAUAUAUAUAUAUAUAUAUAUAUAUAUAUAUAUAUAUAUAUAUAUAUAUAAACCAGUAAUUUAUUUGCUCGUCAUAAUUUCUCUCAUAUUUUGAUUUAUUUGUGGUGCCAAUUUCUUUUACAAGCUCAAAAAUGUAUGGUGACAUUUUACAAGUUUUGUUACCUUCAUUCAUUAAUAUAAGAAAUCAAAAAUAAAAAUUUCAAAGUAUAAUGUCAAUAUAUAAAUAUAUAGAUUAAUUACUUAUUCUACUUAUAAAUUUAGCAUAAUAGUGUUGAAUGAUAUAAACUUAAUAAAUAAUUCUAUUUAUUGAAUAAUUAUGAAAAACAUCUAAAUGAUAAGUGUGUGACCCUAUUUAUUUUGAAAAUGAUUAAAAUGAGUGUGUAUAUAUAUAUAUACACUUAAAUAUAAUUCUUUUGUAGAAAAUAUACGCAAUAUAAUUAAAAUUCACAAUAAAACAAAACAUAUUGAAUAUGUCACCAUCAUAAAUAAAUAAACAACUAAUACCACAAACAUUAUUAUUUUAGAACCAUUUGAAAGAAGUAGUAAAAAUAUGUCUAGAUGUCACAUCCUUUAGAGCUUAUCUAUACAAAAUAAGAGUAAUCAAAUUUUGAUUUCCAUAGUAACAAUGAAAAAACUAAGUUGUGCAAGUGGAUCACCCUUUAUUAUCCACAAAAUGUCAUCCUCACCUAAAAGUUAAGUUGUUUCAUUGGUGAACCCUAAGUAACUAAUCAUGAUUAUUAUUAAUAUAAAUUACCGGCUAAAUCAAAAUAAUUGUAAAUCAUCGCAUUUACUACCAAGAAAGUGAUGUAUUAUCCUAUGUGAUAAAUGACUCAAUGAAUAUUAACUACCAUUUACUACCAAUUAUUAUCCCUAGUAGAUAUUGGUGUUGUGCACAUAUAUAAUUUUUUUUCCGGUUUACCCUCUUGAUGUUUACUUAACUUUUCCUUCACCUUGUAUCAUGUGGUUGGUUAGUUAUCAAGUAUGCAAAUGUAAUAUCCAAAUUUUGUUGUUAUUAUAUCUUUGUAAAAUUAUAAUAAAUUAUUAUACCUGUGUUUAUUGUGGUGAAAUAAUUUUCUAAGUGUUUAGUUUUAUGUAUUUGCCUUUAAUAAUUUAAUGAUUUAACUUGAAGAUAUGAAGAGGUUUAAAUCCCUAAUAUAUAUAUAUAUAUACACAUAGUGGCACAACCCUUCAUGGACUAGGGUGGGCCACGGUCUACCCGAAAAAAUUUAAAAAUUAACGAUGAUAGGUAUACUUUGCGAGAUUUUAUACAAUUUUGUGUCCGUUUUAGAUUUCGAUUGAUCCAAAUUUUUGUAAAGUGGUGUAGUGGCCCAUCCGAAAAAUUUAAAUUAUUCAAUUAUAGGUCUAUUUUGCGAGUCUUUAAACAAUUUUUCAACGUUUAUAAUUUUCCACGGUUUCAAAAGUGACAUACAUGAUUUUUGUGAUGCUUAUAUUUGAUAUAUUGUCAUGUCAACUGAAAAUUCUCUCGGUUAAUAGUCGUAAUGUACAAAAAAAGUUUCAUAGUUUAUAGUCGUUGUUAAAUACGUAAUUAUUUAAGUAUCCACCCUAACUUUUUAGUUAAACUCCGUCAUUUCAACUUCGUACUUAAUACUCCAUCGGUUUUUAAAUAUAAGCAAAAUUGACUUUUUAGGUUCAUUCAAUUAAUGAUAUAUGUGGUUCAUAUUAUGGAUCACAUACAUCAUUAAUUGAAUGAACCUAAAAAGUCAUUUUUUACUAUAUUUUAAAACGGAGGGAGUACUUAUUACAACUUUAAUCUGUGUUUAUAUAUUAUAAUUAAUUUUUGUGGCCCACCCGAACUAUUUUUUUACUGGCUCUGUCACUACACAUACACAAAUACCUCUAAGGUACCUAACCUAAUAAGACUAAUGCAUGCUAGAGAAUUUGCGCAUUACCUUAACUACAUUUCUAUUGCGAUGGAAUUUGCGACAAACCCGUCAUUAUCGAUGUUAUCGCAAAAGUUUCUUGAAGAACACUGUGUUUGUCAUUUGUUCGUUUUCAAAACUAUCUUGACUACUCAAUUUUGAAACUAACCAAUAUUAUGUUAUGUAUGGCAGACAAUUUAUAAUUGAUUCAGCUGCAUUCCAAGCGUACUUACAUGAUUAGUGAAACUCUUCUUGUUGAGGUAAGUAAAUAAGAGAGUUUUAUUCAUGAAUAUCAUGCUAUGAAGCAUGAAAAUGAAUGAUAUAAUUUCCAAAGAUUCAUCCAAAGUUUAUUACGCAUGGCCUAUUGCUUUUUUUUUUUAAAUAUUUGGUUGAUUUGUAAAACAGGGAAGGGUUAAAAUAUGGUUUAAAAUUCUUUAAAAGGUUUUUGUGUUAUUUAAUGUUAUGCUUGACUUGUAUUUGAAAUUUUAUGGAAUAAUGUGUAGAAUUUAUCUUCUAAAAAUUAGCUUUUAUUUUUCAAAUUGCAUUCUACUUUUUGUUGAGAAAACACUGUAUUUAAGACAUUUGAUUCCUUCAUUUUUAAAACUUAUUAAUAGCGUCCUUCCUAAAGUUUUGGUUAUAUCUUUAAAUGAUAUUUCAUCUUUUUAAAACUCUAUCAAGUUUUAAUACAUUAGAAGAAAAAUAAAAUAUAGCGUUAAUAGGUCUUUACCCCCUGUAAUAUAGGUCAUUUCUGGUUUUCCUCCUGUAAAAUAUUUUUGUUUUGAUUUACCCCCUGUAAAAUAUUUUUGUUUUAAUUUACCCCAAUAGGCCAAACAAAAACCAAUUUUUUUUUUUUGGGUUAAUAGUGUUUUACCCCCUAUAAUAUAGGUCAUUUCCGGUUUUCCCCCAUGUAAAAUAUUUUUUUUGGAUUCCGUCCUUGUAAUUUGAAGAUUUUUUGGUUUUAGACCUUCAUGAAAAAUGUUGCCCCCUGUAAUUUGAGGAAAUUUCGGUUUGCCCUCUGUUCAUUUGAGAAAAUUUCGGUUUACCCCCUUGCCAUAUCAUCGAUUUUGUAUAGUCAAAAUUCAUGAAGAUCCAAAACCAAAAAACUUCAAAUCACAAGGACGAAAUCCAAAAAGAAAAUUUUAAAGGGGGAAAACUGGAAAUGACCUAUAUUACAGGGGGGUAAAACACUAGUAACCCUUUUUUUUUUCAAGAAAUUUUCGUUUUUGUUUGACCUAUUAUGAGGGUAAAUCAAAACAAAAAUAUUUUACAAAUAGUGAAUCAAAAUAAAAAUUUUACAGGGGAAAAAACCGGAAACGACCUAUAUUACAAGGGGUAAAGACCUAUUAACGCUAAGAUAUAUAAUGUCUCCCCAUUCUUCAAAUAUAUCCCAAAUUUCAAGGGAUGCACAUGUUAAGAAGUUUUUUUUUAGGGAUGCACAUGUUAAAAAGUUUAAAGUGGUAACUUUGACUUGGAACUUGUACAUUUUAUAUUAAAUAGGUAUCUUUUAAAUAAAUAAAUGUUGUUUUUCAAUUAAAAAUUACUACUUUUAGAUAUCUUAACAUGCACAAUUUGCACAUGUUAGACAAACCUUGAUAAAUUGACAAUAUGUUCAAGAUUGAUUGGAUAUUUCUGAACGGUUGAACUUUGACUAAUAUGUUGUGAUUUGAAGUUAGAGUAGUGAUAUUUUGACAACUAUUUAAGACAACUUUGUUGUUCUCUUCAAAACAAUAGAGAGAAAAAGGUAGAGAGAAAAUAAGAACAUAAUAUGAGUAUGAGAGAGAAAGUUGUACAAAAGUUGUACCAAAAUAAUUGUACAAAUAUCAUUUCUCUUGCAGUUAUAUUGUGAUUGAUAUGCGACGUCGAUACUCGAGUGUAGACAAAUUGUAUUGACUUGAUGUUGUGAGUUAGUGUGAUAAUUAGUUUGACGAUAUUUUUUGAUGUUUUGUGUAUUCUCACAUUUAUUUUACUUUAUUACUUGUUUUGAAACUUACCUCUUUCUUUUUUUUGGCAUGACCCUUCAUUUGCAGAAUCGUAGUUCUACAUAUUGUAUUUUGGAAUGAAGCAAAUUCUUUCUUUGAAGACUCUAUUUAUUUUUCCGUAAAUUUGGGAAAUGGUCUUACUCUGGUAGGUUACAUCAGGUAGAGGAAAUUAUGUACCAUGAUAAAAAAAAAAUUCAAAUAUUCAAUUGAGGAAUAUGUAAAAGAGUGGUGAUGUUCUUUACCUCAUGAAAAUAAUUUUCAAAUUGUAUUUUAUUUUCCUUCAACUAUUUUAUUUAUAGAAAAUUUUAGAUAUAUUAUUUGGGGUUUGAGAAGUCAAUAUAAGACACAUGUUCAAUAUACAAUUAACCUAAGC
rnacentral:lncRNA from 1 species